AUGGGCCUCACAAGGUUACUGACGUCAGCCAAACUCCGAAUGCCGACACGGUGUAAUGCGGCAGUGAGACGGCGGGGGAUAAGCUCCGUGCGUCGAGAGGGAAACAGCCCAGAUCGCCGGCUAAGGCCCCUAAGCGUGUGCUAAGUGGAAAAGGAUGUGCAGUCGCGAAGACAACCAGGAGGUUGGCUUAGAAGCAGCCACCCUUGAAAGAGUGCGUAAUAGCUCACUGGUCAAGUGAUUGUGCGCCGAUAAUGU
rnacentral:rRNA from 1 species